rnacentral:rRNA from 1 species
GACCAGACUCCUACGGGAGGCAGCAGUGGGGAAUAUUGCACAAUGGGGGAAACCCCGAUGCAGCGACGCCGCGUGAGUGAAGAAGUAUUUCGGUAUGUAAAGCUCUAUCAGCAGGGAAGAAAAUGACGGUACCUGACUAAGAAGCCCCGGCUAACUACGUGCCAGCAGCCGCGGUAAUACGUAGGGGGCAAGCGUUAUCCGGAUUUACUGGGUGUAAAGGGAGCGUAGACGGCAUGGCAAGUCAGAUGUGAAAGCCCGGGGCUCAACCCCGGGACUGCAUUUGAAACUGUCAGGCUGGAGUGCAGGAGAGGUAAGUGGCAUUCCUAGUGUAGCGGUGAAAUGCGUAGAUAUUAGGAGGAACACCAGUGGCGAAGGCGGCUUACUGGACUGUAACUGACGUUGAGGCUCGAAAGCGUGGGGAGCAAACAGGAUUAGAUACCCCGGUAUG